rnacentral:rRNA from 1 species
UACAGAGGGCGCAAGCGUUGUUCGGAUUCAUUGGGCGUAAAGGGUGCGUAGGCGGCGCGGUAAGUCGGGUGUGAAAUCUCGGAGCUUAACUCCGAAACUGCAUUCGAUACUGCCGUGCUUGAGGACUGGAGAGGAGACUGGAAUUUACGGUGUAGCGGUGAAAUGCGUAGAUAUCGUAAGGAAGACCAGUGGCGAAGGCGGGUCUCUGGACAGUUCCUGACGCUGAGGCACGAAGGCCAGGGGAGCAAACGGG